UGCAACUUCUUCUUUUUCAUCGAAAAAUCGUUUUGACGUUUGUUUUAUGCUAUAGGAGUAAAAGGAACAAAACAAUAAUUUCAGAAACGAGCGAUUUCGAAAUUUUGCUUCUCGCUCUGACUUAUUGAACCUUGUUUAUGUGCGAGGUGGUCAUGGAGGGUUCGAUCCGGUCGAGAAAAAAUGAAAGCGUGAAAAUUGUUAGUUCCGCGUUUGCCGUCGCGAUAAAUAUUUUUAUGAAACAUUACGCGCAGUUCGGGAAAAUAUAUUCAGUGCUUAAUUGGUGCUCGUGUGCAAUCAAAAAUGUAACUAUGAGGAACGAAUGGAAUAUAAACCAACAGUUGUUCUGAUUUUCCUUCCGAGUAUCAACGAAAUUGUUAACAGUAACAAAAACGCAAGGACAUUCAUCGGUUGCUCUUUAUUCUUCCUGUUGAUGAACAGGUGAAAGUAUUUCGUUAGCCAGCUCCCGGACAGCGCAAAGUAAUUCUAUCCACCAACGUUGCUGAGAGUUUCAUCACCGUACCAGAUACCAACGGUUCUAUGGGAAUCAAAUGCGCUUCUCGACGUCACCGCAAAUUCUUCGCUAUCCUCUAGAGAACGUAGUUCUGAAAGCCAAAGUACUGGAAAUGGGUCCGCCACAUUCGAUUCCCACGAUGGCUGUAAUCUCAGUGACCUCAGAAAUACUUGAAGAAAUUGGAGCAUUUUGAACCGUUUGAACCGUGAAAGGCAAUUUGAAAGCAGCAGGAUGGAGUUUUGACCUACACGGGGCGCGUCAUGGCAAGACAUCCUCUCAAUUUGCGUAUCUCCAAGCUUAUCAUUUUGGGAUCCAUUUUUGGGCUGAUGGUUCCGGAGGCGAUGGAAUUGCCAUCUUGAAUUCUUACAUGACGAGGAAGAGUCGGCAGGCAGGAAAUUAAGGCGCAUGUCGUUAAACCUGAAAAUUUUCAAGUGUUUCCGAAAAUGGCCUUCGGGAGCAUCUUUAUGUAUUGCUGCGAAUUUUCCAGGGAAUUCUCGCGGAACAGAAAGGGGCUUAAGGAAUUGCUCCAAAUGUGUUUGCAAUGUUUACUCGUAAUUGAUCCCCUCAAAUUAAAAUUUUCCCAGCAACCGUGGAGGAACAAUUCUAUGCUUCAUCUUUGUGGGUCUUGGAUCGAAACCCUUGCCACAUCCUUCUCCGAAUAUUCUUCGACUCAGCAACGAACCUGCGCCAAACUUUACUGAGGCAAUUGCAUCCGGGUUCGACUGCUUAGUUGCGCCGAACGUAAUGAACGAAUCGCGGAACAAACUUCCUCUCUCGGGUAUUUUGGCGCAACGAUUUGGGUAUUCCGUUUGCUUGAUCCUGAUCCCGGAAAAGCCAGACAACGAUGACAACGAUGAUUUCGACAUAAAUAAAUAAAUAAUUAUUAUUGUAAAAUGUCGCUUCUGGAAGCAGUUUAGAUUUUAAUAUUUAAUAAACAAUG